rnacentral:lncRNA from 1 species
CUUUGCUACUUAGAAAAUCUCUCCCACUCUAUACCCACCAAUUGCCCCACACACAUUCCUCCCCCAAAACACCAGUAGUUUACAGAUUUUUUCACCACUAAAGAGAGAAAAAUUUCUUGAGUCCCAACAUAAUAAGCAUCAGAACCAAAUGCCUUCAUGAAAUUCUGUCAGAUAGCAUCUUAAAUUGAUGAGUCUUUCCAACUAAAACAUAAAUCGAAGAAUGCAGGAGUUUCCAUUGGCUUCUGGCACCAUCUGCCUCAGCACAGAUUUCAUUGCUACACAGUUGCCUAGCAACCUGCUCCCAGUCAGCCCCACUCCUUCUUGCUCGUUUCUUUACACUGGUCCUCCCAGGUUUUUCUCUCUUUGUUUGCUCUGUAGUAGCAGGAUCUGAACACACAAUGCUGCAAGGAUGGCUCAGAAGUUGUUCAGGAUAAUAUUGUGGCAUCCUUCAGUGCUGAGCUGCAGAGUCUCUCCCUCAUUUGGGAAGUGAUGACGGCCACUCUUAUUUUGAAGCAGGGCAGUGACAAGAUCAGAGCUAGCUCCUGCUUAGGAAGUUGAGGGAUAACGGACCACAGUGAUGACUAUGGGAAUGGAAAAGAGGGUGCAGAGGAGAGCCACAGGCUGCAGUAGAAGCAGUGUCAGGCUGUGAGGGCCUGGAGAUAUCAAAGGUGCAGGCAUAGCUUCAGACCUGGGGCUAUCUACAGAAGCAGCGAGUCAGGAAGAUAUGCGGAGAGAAGUCUAAGUGCCAAGUUGGACACAAUGAAUCUGAAGUGUCAGAGAAACAGAGAGGCCAAGAUGCCCACAUUUUCCCCAGAGUUCCUCCAGGAGUCCUGUCACUAGAGGGACUAUUCCAGGAGCAGGUGCUUUACUAGGUCACUUCCUUGAAAUCACAAAGAUACUGUGAGGAAGUGGACACAUUGGGACAGCUCUUAGUGACUUCCUCGAAAGCAUCACUAUGCUACCACCUGCUCACAGAGCCGUCACCCAGGCUGAGGCAAGCAUAGCGCCUCCUCCCGUUGGCCCCGUGAUUGGUCCGCACCGGGGAGGGGUCUUUGGCUGAGGAAUCAAACUCCCUGGAAGUGUCUUCAGUGGAAGUUCAAAGAAAAAUUUCUCUAUCUGGAAAGACGUAAGUCUAGAACAUUCCCUGCCAUUGAAUGCUGCCCAUCUUCAGAAGGAGAGAAUGAAAUCAAUAUUCAGAGAUGGUGACUCUUCUGCCUGCUCCAGCUUUACAAGCGAAACACCUACUUUCAACUUGGAAAGAAUCGUUGGACAGGCUAUUUGCAGCCUGCUACUUAAAGGGAGUGGUAGAGAACUUUGUGCUUUGAGGCAGAAAUCCCCACUAAGGACCAGGGGUGGAGAUGCGGAAAGGCGCUUUGAUUGGGGCAGGCUUCCACCCUCCAGCUUUCGAAGAACAGGAACUGACUCAGAAGUUGAAGAAGGUGUGGCUGGGGAUGUGGCUGUUGUCUAAGCUCACAAAACCUUCUCUCUAGAACAUUCUUAAUAGCAUGCCUCAGCUCCAGCAACAGGCAACCUCUGAGCCUGUUCAUUCCAAAUUUCAGAUUCACAGAGGACAGGUACUGCUUGUCACAGCACAGCUCAAGGGACACUUCUAAAUUACUCACCACAAAGAGGGCCAGGGUCAUAGAGAUCACCUGGGGCCAUGGGGGCCAGAGGAGGGAGGGUGAUGAUGAGUCAAGCAGUCAUCCCCAGAGAUGUCCACUACAGCAUGGUGGUGGGCCCUGGAGGUGGUGACAAGAUACUGUCACCUAGCUCUGCAGGCAGGGUCAUAGGAGGACCAAGAGAUCAUGGCAGAUGUUAUGUGUUUGUGAGCAAAUGUGGGACAACGUGAGGACCCAGGGGGAUGAAGAAUGAGGGAGUCAAUGUGGUGAAAUAACUAGGGAUAGUUAUCAGUUACUCAGGCACAUGUGCAUAGUCCUGUCCUAAGCUCUUACUGACACUAACUCAUUUAAUCCUCACCACCCCCCAUACAACAAGCACUACUGCAUUGUACAAGUGAGUGAAGCAAGGAUGGGCCAAGAGACUGAUCAACUCGCCCAAGGUUACAUGCAGCGGGGAGCGAGGUCUUGGCUCUGAAUCCAGACAAGUCAACUCCAGAGGCCGUGUGCCUUACCAAUAUUUCACUCAGCAAAUGAGGCAAUGAAGUAUGGGUUAUUGCUCUUACAGGAGCCCCAUUUGCAGCCACAGAUUACAGUUAGGCUUCCUGGGGGCAUUUGAUUUGUGUUUUGUUGUUGUUUCAGAUCAGCUUUAUUCACCAUUUGACAAAAUGUAUCCAAGGAGUAGUUUAAACUGAAUUACUUAGAAAUACUUCACUCUUUGGGAUCCACAUACGUCAUUACAUAUGAAACUAUUCACAUCCUUGUGGUUAGAACAGCCUUUCUCUAUUAUAACCGACCCUUUAAUAAUAACACCAGUCAUGUUCCAUAACAUGCAAUCAAAUGGUCUGUCCCAAGUAUGGAUACUUAACUGUGUCAUACAGGUGUGAGGCUUGUCCAAAGCACACCGAAGUGUGGAUGUCGGCAUUCACAUAACCACCCCAUCCUUUCUAGAGGAUGGCUUGGUGUACAUCUGUUGAUGUUUUGUAGUUAUUUAGAAGUUUUCACUAUUGUUGCUUUGAGUUCUUACUCUAGCAUUCUUCUUCUUAACAGUCCAAAUAGCACUUACUUUUGAACUAGACCUUAAGUCAUGCUCAUGUACACCUGCUAGGGUAAUUCCUAAGCCAACAAGUAGGGCUUUUUAUACAUGCAUCCAGAAUCAGGAAUGGGACCAGAGGGUGAAGCAGCAGCUUGUACAAAUAGGUUUUUAAACAGAUCAACCACCAGAGGGAGCCAAAAAGAAACGUCUUCCCGGAGUGGAGCAAUGCAGGGUGUUUACAUUCCACGUGAGUCGAUGAAUAAAGUCUUCAUCCAAGAAGGAAUAUGGUCUUUGGCUACAUUUCUGUCAUGAAGAUUUGCCGUAGACUUCCUGCAUGUUUGGCUAAUUGUAUUUUCUCAGCUCCCCUUAAUUAUACAGACCAGAUGCUUUGUGACU